rnacentral:rRNA from 1 species
AUUGAACGCUGGCGGCAGGCCUAACACAUGCAAGUCGAGCGGAUGAAGGGAGCUUGCUCCUGGAUUCAGCGGCGGACGGGUGAGUAAUGCCUAGGAAUCUGCCUGGUAGUGGGGGAUAACGUCCGGAAACGGGCGCUAAUACCGCAUACGUCCUGAGGGAGAAAGUGGGGGAUCUUCGGACCUCACGCUAUCAGAUGAGCCUAGGUCGGAUUAGCUAGUUGGUGGGGUAAAGGCUUACCAAGGCGACGAUCCGUAACUGGUCUGAGAGGAUGAUCAGUCACACUGGAACUGAGACACGGUCCAGACUCCUACGGGAGGCAGCAGUGGGGAAUAUUGGACAAUGGGCGAAAGCCUGAUCCAGCAAUGCCGCGUGUGUGAAGAAGGUCUUCGGAUUGUAAAGCACUUUAAGUUGGGAGGAAGGGCAGUAAGUUAAUACCUUGCUGUUUUGACGUUACCAACAGAAUAAGCACCGGCUAACUUCGUG